rnacentral:rRNA from 1 species
CACCCUACGGGGCGCAGCAGUGGGGAAUCUUCCGCAAUGGGCGAAAGCCUGACGGAGCAACGCCGCGUGAUCGAAUGAAGGCCUUCGGGUUGUAAAGAUCUGUUGACAGGAACGAAUAAGCAAUGCGAAUAGUUUUGUGUAUGACGGUACCUGUUUAGAAAGCUCCGGCUAACUACGUGCCAGCAGCCGCGGUAAUACGUAGGGAGCAAGCGUUGUCCGGAAUUACUGGGUGUAAAGGGAGCGCAGGCGGGAAGCCAAGUCAGCUGUGAAAACUACGGGCUUAACUUGUAGACUGCAGUUGAAAC